rnacentral:misc_RNA from 1 species
GUAGGUGAACCUGCGGAAGGAUCAUUACUGAGUACUAAGGUUUACUGGCUGCAAAGCUGGUACUCCUUUCUUCUCUUAACCCUUUUGAUAUUUCUUCUUAGUUGCUUUGGCAAGAGCUUCGGUUCUUGCCAAUGGAAACUUUAAACACUAUGUUAUCCAAUAAUUGGUAUCUUUAGUCUGAUUUAUUACUUUAAUAGUACAUAAAACUUUCAACAACGGGUCUCUUGGUUCUG